rnacentral:rRNA from 1 species
GACGAACGCUGGCGGCGUGCUUAACACAUGCAAGUCGAACGCUGAAGCUCAGCUUUUGUUGGGUGGAUGAGUGGCGAACGGGUGAGUAACACGUGAGUAACCUGCCCCCUUCUUUGGGAUAACGCCCGGAAACGGGUGCUAAUACUGGAUAUUCACUGGUCUUCGCAUGGGGGUUGGUGGAAAGGGUUUUUCUGGUGGGGGAUGGGCUCGCGGCCUAUCAGCUUGUUGGUGGGGUGAUGGCCUACCAAGGCUUUGACGGGUAGCCGGCCUGAGAGGGUGACCGGUCACAUAGGGACUGAGAUACGGCCCAGACUCCUACGGGAGGCAGCAGUGGGGAAUAUUGCACAAUGGGCGCAAGCCUAAUGCAGCGACGCCGCGUGAGGGAUGGAGGCCGUCGGGUUGUGAACCUCUUUCGCUCAUGGUCAAGCCGCAACAAUGGUUGUGGUGAGGGUAGUGGGUAAAGAAGCGCCGGCUAACUACGUG